rnacentral:rRNA from 1 species
UUUGGACAUGGGCGAAAGCCUGNCCAGCAAUGCCGCGUGAGUGAGGAAGGCCUUAGGGUUGUAAAGCUCUUUCGGCGGGGACGAUGAUGACGGUACCCGCAGAAGAAGCCCCGGCUAACUUCGUGCCAGCAGCCGCGGUAAUACGAAGGGGGCGAGCGUUGUUCGGAAUUACUGGGCGUAAAGGGCGCGUAGGCGGCUAUCUUUGUCAGGUGUGAAAGCCCUGGGCUCAACCUGGGAAUUGCACUUGGGACGGGGUAGCNUUGAGUUCGGGAGAGGAGAGUGGAAUUCCCAGUGUAGAGGUGAAAUUCGUAGAUAUUGGGAAGAACACCGGUGGCGAAGGCGGCUCUCUGGACCGAUACUGACGCUGAGGCGCGAAAGCGUGGGGAGCAAACAGGAUUAGAUACCCUGGUAGUCCACGCUGUAAACGAUGUGUGCUAGACGUUGGGAAGCCUAGCUUCUCGGUGUCGCAGCUAACGCGGUAAGCACACCGCCUGGGGAGUACGGCCGCAAGGUUAAAACUCAAAGAAAUUGACGGA